UUUAGGUAACUAUGGAGUUAUUAUUAUUUACAUUAAUAUACAAGUUGUUCAAUUCAACUACUUAAAA
rnacentral:tRNA from 1 species